GAUGAACGCUGGCGGUAUGCUUAACACAUGCAAGUCGAACGGAGUAGUAAUACUUAGUGGCGGACGGGUGAGUAACGCGUAAGAAUUAGCUUCAGGUUCGGGACAACAGUUGGAAACGACUGCUAAUACCGGAUGUGCCCACGGGUGAAAGGCUUGCUGCCUGAAGAAAAGCUUGCGUCCGAUUAGCUAGUUGGUAAGGUAAAGGCUUACCAAGGCGUCGAUCGGUAGCUGGUCUGAGAGGAUGACCAGCCACACUGGGACUGAGACAAGGCCCAGACUCCUACGGGAGGCAGCAGUGGGGAAUUUUCCGCAAUGGGCGAAAGCCUGACGGAGCAAUACCGCGUGAGGGAAGAAGGGCUCUUUUGGGUUGUAAACCUCUUUUCUUAGGGAUAAAAAAUGAAGGUACCUGAGGAAUAAGCAUCGGGCUAACUCCGUGCCAGCAGCCGCCGUAAU
rnacentral:rRNA from 1 species